GAGUUUGAUCCUGGCUCAGAGCGAACGCUGGCGGCAGGCCUAACACAUGCAAGUCGAACGGAUCCUUCGGGAUUAGUGGCGGACGGGUGAGUAACACGUGGGAACGUGCCCUUUGGUUCGGAACAACUCAGGGAAACUUGAGCUAAUACCGGAUGUGCCCUUCGGGGAAAGAUUUAUCGCCAUUGGAGCGGCCCGCGUCUGAUUAGCUAGUUGGUGAGGUAAAGGCUCACCAAGGCUACGAUCAGUAGCUGGUCUGAGAGGAUGAUCAGCCACAUUGGGACUGAGACACGGCCCAAACUCCUACGGGAGGCAGCAGUGGGGAAUCUUGCGCAAUGGGCGAAAGCCUGACGCAGCCAUGCCGCGUGAAUGAUGAAAGGUCUUAGGAUUGUAAAAUUCUUUCACCGGGGACGAUAAUGACGGUACCCGGAGAAGAAGACCCCGGCUAACUUCGUGCCAGCAGCCGCCGCAGUAAC
rnacentral:rRNA from 1 species